GCUUAACACAUGCAAGUCGAGGGGCAUCAGGAAGAAAGCUUGCUUUCUUUGCUGGCGACCGGCGCACGGGUGAGUAACACGUAUCCAACCUGCCCUUUACUCGGGGAUAGCCUUUCGAAAGAAAGAUUAAUACCCGAUAGCAUAAUGAUUCCGCAUGGUUUCAUUAUUAAAGGAUUCCGGUAAAGGAUGGGGAUGCGUUCCAUUAGGUUGUUGGUGAGGUAACGGCCCACCAAGCCUUCGAUGGAUAGGGGUUCUGAGAGGAAGGUCCCCCACAUUGGAACUGAGACACGGUCCAAACUCCUACGGGAGGCAGCAGUGAGGAAUAUUGGUCAAUGGGCGCUAGCCUGAACCAGCCAAGUAGCGUGAAGGAUGAAGGCUCUAUGGGUCGUAAACUUCUUUUAUAUAAGAAUAAAGUGCAGUAUGUAUACUGUUUUGUAUGUAUUAUAUGAAUAAGGAUCGGCUAACUCCGUGCCAGCAGCCGCGGUAAUACGGAGGAUCCGAGCGUUAUCCGGAUUUAUUGGGUUUAAAGGGAGCGUAGGUGGACUGGUAAGUCAGUUGUGAAAGUUUGCGGCUCAACCGUAAAAUUGCAGUUGAUACUGUCAGUCUUGAGUACAGUAGAGGUGGGCGGAAUUCGUGGUGUAGCGGUGAAAUGCUUAGAUAUCACGAAGAACUCCGAUUGCGAAGGCAGCUCACUGGACUGCAACUGACACUGAUGCUCGAAAGUGUGGGUAUCAAACAGGAUUAGAUACCCUGGUAGUCCACACAGUAAACGAUGAAUACUCGCUGUUUGCGAUAUACAGUAAGCGGCCAAGCGAAAGCAUUAAGUAUUCCACCUGGGGAGUACGCCGGCAACGGUGAAACUCAAAGGAAUUGACGGGGGCCCGCACAAGCGGGGGAACAUGUGGUUUAAUUCGAUGAUACGCGAGGAACCUUACCCGGGCUUAAAUUGCAGUGGAAUGAUGUGGAAACAUGUCAGUGAGCAAUCACCGCUGUGAAGGUGCUGCAUGGUUGUCGUCAGCUCGUGCCGUGAGGUGUCGGCUUAAGUGCCAUAACGAGCGCAACCCUUAUCUUUAGUUACUAACAGGUUAUGCUGAGGACUCUAGAGAGACUGCCGUCGUAAGAUGUGAGGAAGGUGGGGAUGACGUCAAAUCAGCACGGCCCUUACGUCCGGGGCUACACACGUGUUACAAUGGGGGGUACAGAAGGCAGCUAGCGGGUGACCGUAUGCUAAUCCCAAAAUCCUCUCUCAGUUCGGAUCGAAGUCUGCAACCCGACUUCGUGAAGCUGGAUUCGCUAGUAAUCGCGCAUCAGCCACGGCGCGGUGAAUACGUUCCCGGGCCUUGUACACACCGCCCGUCAAGCCAUGGGAGCCGGGGGUACCUGAAGUACGUAACCGCAAGGAUCGUCCUAGGGUAAAACUGGUGACUGGGGCUAAGUCA
rnacentral:rRNA from 1 species